UAUCAGAAAUCAUACAGAACCAUUUGAAACCAUCAGUACAGCUGAGCUCUGGAAACCAUUAGGCAAAUCUGGCAGCUCGAAAAAGUUCACGGAGAUCUUUAGGCUAUUUCAUUGUGGUAUGAUUGGUUGGGUCAGCCCUGAAGGUUUCCUCUUCUGAUCUUUCCCCCACUACCAUCAGAGAAAAGCAAGACCGUCUGAUAAGAAAGCAGAUGAACUUUUAAAAAUGGCUGAAGAAGAAAAACUUGAGAGAGGAAUUCAAAGGUGUGCAGAGAUAUUCAGAGGGACUGAGCCUACUACGAGGUGCUCUCUGAAGAAAAGGGAGCCAUCCGUUGUUCGACCUAAAUUGGACAAAUUUUUCACUAUAGUAAAUCUGAAAAAAUACUACCAGUCACCAAACCUCUACUUCUGCAGCCUCCUGAAAAGACUAAUAAUCAUAUCAUUACUCCUUACUCAGAUAAUGUUGUGAUGCAAUGCUUUGAAUUACUUUACUUGACAAUUAAGACUUGUUUAAUGAUGACUAAUGUUCCAUAAUAUUGUACAUAAAAAUAUUAUUUUUUCAGAGGUUCUGGAACAGAUCCCAAUUUAGAACAUGCUUGACUGUGUAAAUAUAUCCACAAUGCUAUCAUUCUUGAUGCAUCCAUGUUUUCAAGGAACAUAUUAUAGCUGUACUGUUGGCUAUGCCUGAAAGUGUAUUUUCAUGUUCUAUAAAAUGAUUCUGCAUAUAUUAAAAACAUUUCACCCUUAAAAGAGGGGAUAAUUCUA